UAGCAAUACGUCAGUGGCGAACGGGUGAGUAAUGAAUCGCUAAUGUACCCCGGACUCCGGGAUAGCUGCCCGAAAGGGCAGGUAAUACCGGAUGACAUAACCUGCAGGCAUCUGCGGGUUCUCAAAGGUCCGCCGGUCUGGGCGCAGGCGAUUUCGUAUCAGCUAGUUGGUGCGGGUAACGGCCCACCAAGGCGACGACGCGUAGCCGGACUGAGAGGUUGGCCGGCCACAUCGGGACUGAGACACUGCUCGGACUCCUACGGGGGGCUGCAGUAACGAAUCUUCCCCAAUGCACGCAAGUGUGAGGGAGCGACGCCGCGUGUGGGACGAAGUCCUUCGGGAUGUAAACCACUGUCAGGGGGUACCAAGUUCUGAGGACCCCCAGAGGAAGAGGCGGCUAACUCUGUGCCAGCAGCCGCGGUAAGACAGAGGCCUCAAGCGUUAGGCGGAAUCACUGGGCUUAAAGCGUGUGUAGGCGGAUGCCUAAGUACCUUGUGAAAUCCCACGGCUCAACCGUGGAACUGCUGGGUAUACUGGGCGUCUUGGGCCAUUCAGGGGCGACUGGAACAAGCGGUGGAGCGGUGAAAUGCGUAGAUAUCGCUUGGAACGCCGAAGGUGAAAACAGGUCGCUGGGGAUGUGCCGACGCUGAGACACGAAAGCCAGGGGAGCAAACGGGAUUAGAUACCCCGGUAGUCCUGGCCCUAAACGAUGUCCACUAGAUUAUGGCGCCUUUGACGGCGUCAUGGUCGAGGCAAAAGUGUUAAGUGGACCGCCUGGGAAGUACGGUCGCAAGGCUAAAACUC
rnacentral:rRNA from 1 species